rnacentral:tRNA from 1 species
UGGUGUGGCUCAAUGGUAGAGCAACGCAUUCGUAAUGCGUGGGCUGCGGGUUCGAUUCCCGCCACC